rnacentral:rRNA from 1 species
AAGAAAGUAAGAAAGGGCGUAUGGCGGAUGCCUAGGCUCACGGAGGCGAUGAAGGACGUGAUAAGCUGCGAUAAGCUUCGGGUAGGUGCAAAUAACCCUUGAUCCGGAGAUUUCCGAAUGGGACAACCUAGCCGUCUGAAGGACGGUUACUCUUACCAGUGUAAGAGAGCUAACGCAGGGAACUGAAACAUCUUAGUACCUGCAGGAAGAGAAAAUAAAUGAAUGAUUCCCCCAGUAGUGGCGAGCGAACGGGGAACAGCCCAAACCAGUGGCGUCGCAAGGCGUGGCUGGGGUUGUAGGACCGCGACAUUGUAUGCAAAUCGUGAACAGAACA